rnacentral:snRNA from 1 species
GAAUGUGAUGGCGAUCUUGCUAUGACAUCUGUCACCCCACUGAUCACUAGGGUUGAUUCAGCUGAUCAGGAUGGCUAGGCAGGUGUACCCUUCCUCCCUCACUGCUCCAUGUGCAUCCUUCCUAAAGCUGAGAGUUUGGUCGAAGAGGACGACCAUCCCCAAUAGAGGAGGACUGUUCUUUGGUCAAGGGUAUAUAAGAAACUGUGUUCCCCUGCUAGAACCUCCAAACAAGAGGGAGAGAGGGGUGAAUAUGAUGAAAGUACAUUAUACACAUCUAUGAAAAUGUCACAGAAAACCUACUACUUUGGACAAUUAAUAU